GGAAAGAGAGAGAGAGCGAGAGGGAGGGAGGAGGAAGAUAAGAGCCAUUACAACAGGAGAGUUGGGGAAACAGUAUGCGUUUCAAUUGAUUAAGAACUGCGCAAUUUCUUAGUAUCCAUCGCCGCUUUGGUCCUGGUGUCCUAAAAUAUAUUGAUAUCUAAAGGCUUGUUUGGAUUGAACAUGCGUGUGGCAAACCCGCCCGCGGUGCACGCAUAGCCUAUACCGGCGGUUGUAGCAGCUACGUACUUGGCUUAGCGAUUUUGAAACGGAAUGUUCAAUUCUUCUGCGAGAGGGCUGUACAUUCAUUUUGGAAGACGAUAUGCAAGAUUAGAGAUUACUGUACAGCUUUGAAAUUGUGCAACAACACGAGACUAAUCGUUGUGCCAUGCCCAUGGCUGAUUCUCUAAAUGCUCUCAUCUCUCCCAAGCAACGAUUUCAUAAUGUAUCUGCGUGUACAGUUUCUGCAAGACGACAUUUUCUAAAUGGAGUAAGGAUUUUUGACACAUUAUUCAGCUAUUACUUAAUUUGGGGAACGGUUUUGGGAGGCUACGUGGCUGAACGAACGUCAUUCGUGUGGAAAGAAGAUGUGUUACGAAGGUUUUUCUGUUACAGUGUGCAGCAACGGCACCUCCCAUGAGAAAACAGCAUGCACAAACAGCCUAACAUGAUGCCACGGCCUCGGUGUGCUGUUGGCAUGGGCCAGCCUGGCAUCACCUGAACAAACAUUCAAGAUGUUAACAUCACGGUCAGGGGCUUUGCAGCCACAGCAAAGAGCCAAUCAUAAUGACGUGUGGGAAUGCGGGGCCGUCUGGUUGGAGCACGCAGUUAGCCGGGUACAGACGAUACCUGGCCCACACAGGUACACACCCACGCACAGAACACACACAGUGGGAGGACGACACUGUGGCAGGUGAGAGGAAUCGAGGUGUGUGUGUGUGUGUGUGUGUGUGUGUGUCCUAAUAGAUUAGCACUGCUGUGUCAGUUGGUUGGCUGAGCCAGGGGCUGGAAAUGGGCUGAGAGUCCCUUGUUGAAACCAGACAUCCCAUUGUCCACCCCACACACACACACACACACACACACACACACACACACACAGAGGCACAGACACACAUUCGCUUAAAGACUCACACGUACUGUACACACACCUGCUGGGUUCCUUGGAGAAAAGCUGAGCUCCAUUCUGUCUCUAUUCAGGGGAGACGAAGGAGAAGAGUGGGAGGAGGGAACGGAGCAUGCGGAGUGGGGGGAGGAGGGAGGGAGUCAG